GAAUUGCGAUAUGUUAGUGUGAAACGCAGAACAGUGAAUCAUCGAGACUUUGAACGCACCUUGCGCUCUCCGGUCUUCCGGAGAGCAUGCCUGUCUGAGUGUCGCUAAACCCCCAUAGGCCGAAAGGUCUGAUUCGGAUGUGUGCCGUGUUCGGCUCCGUCUAAGAUACAAUCGGAAUGUGGCCAGCUCCGCGUCUUCCGGGACAUUUGAUCGUAAUUACCUUCAUGCGUCUCUUUAGGAAGAUGUCGGUUGUUGUGCUCCCCUCUGCGGAAUGCCUUUGCGGCGCCGUGGUGUGGUCUCUUUAGUGAUGUGGCCUCAGAUCAGGUAGGACUACCCGCUGAACUUAA
rnacentral:misc_RNA from 1 species